GGUCAAGUUAUUAAGGGUGCAGGGCGGAUGCCUUGGCACUAGGAGCCGAUGAAGGACGUGAUAAGCUGCGAUAAGCUUCGGGGAGUUGCACGUAAACUUUGAUCCGAAGAUUUCCGAAUGAGGAAACUCACUUAGAGUAAUGUCUAAGUAUCAUUAAGUGAAUACAUAGCUUAAUGAGGGGAACUCAGGGAACUGAAACAUCUAAGUACCUGAAGGAAGAGAAAGAAAUUCGAUUCCGUAAGUAGCGGCGAGCGAACGCGGAUUAGCCCAAACCAAUAAAGUUUUCUUUAUUGGGGUUGCGGAC
rnacentral:rRNA from 1 species